rnacentral:rRNA from 1 species
UACGUAGGGUGCAAGCGUUGUCCGGAAUUAUUGGGCGUAAAGAGCUCGUAGGCGGUCUGUUGCGUCGGCUGUGAAAACCCGAGGCUCAACCUCGGGCCUGCAGCCGAUACGGGCAGACUAGAGUUCGGCAGGGGAGACUGGAAUUCCUGGUGUAGCGGUGAAAUGCGCAGAUAUCAGGAGGAACACCGGUGGCGAAGGCGGCAUCCUGGACCAACACUGACACUGAGGAGCGAAAGCCAGGGGAGCAAACGGG